GACAGAGGUGCCAAGCGUUAGGCGGAAUCACUGGGCUUAAAGCGUGUGUAGGCGGAUGCCUAAGUACCUUGUGAAAUCCCACGGUUCAACCGUGGAGCUGCUGGGUAUACUGGGUGUCUUGGUCAUCUAGGGGCUGCCGGAACAAUGGUGGAGCGGUGAAAUGCGUAGAUAUCAUUUGGAACGCCAACGGCGAAAGCAGGCAGCUGGGAUGCACCGACGCUGAGACACGAAAGCCAGGGAGCGAACGGG
rnacentral:rRNA from 1 species